rnacentral:rRNA from 1 species
GAUGAACGCUGGCGGCGUGCCUAAUACAUGCAAGUCGAGCGAACAGACGAGGAGCUUGCUCCUCUGACGUUAGCGGCGGACGGGUGAGUAACACGUGGAUAACCUACCUAUAAGACUGGGAUAACUUCGGGAAACCGGAGCUAAUACCGGAUAAUAUAUUGAACCGCAUGGUUCAAUAGUGAAAGACGGUUUUGCUGUCACUUAUAGAUGGAUCCGCGCCGCAUUAGCUAGUUGGUAAGGUAACGGCUUACCAAGGCAACGAUGCGUAGCCGACCUGAGAGAGUGAUCGGCCACACUGGAGCUGAGACACGGUCCAGACGCUUACGGGAGGCAGCAGUAGGGAAUCUGCCGCAAUGGGCGAAAGCUUGACGGAGCAACGCCGCGUGAGUGAUGAAGGUCUUCGGAUCGUAAAACUCUGUUAUUAGGGAAGAACAAAUGUGUAAGUAACUAUGCACGUCUUGACGGUACCUAAUCAGAAAGCCACGGCUAACUACGUG